rnacentral:rRNA from 1 species
UAGGGAAUCUUCCGCAAUGGACGCAAGUCUGACGGAGCAACGCCGCGUGAGUGAAGAAGGAUUUCGGUUCGUAAAACUCUGUUGUUAGAGAAGAACAGCGCAUAGAGUAACUGUUAUGCGUGUGACGGUAUCUAACCAGAAAGCCACGGCUAACUACGUGCCAGCAGCAGCGGUAAUACGUAGGUGGCAAGCGUUGUCCGGAUUUAUUGUGCGUAAAGCGAGCGCAGGCGGUCAAUUAAGUCUGAUGUGAAAGCCCCCGGCUCAACCGGGGAGGGUCAUUGGAAACUGGUUGACUUGAGUGCAGAAGAGGAGAGUGGAAUUCCAUGUGUAGCCGUGAAAUGCGUAGAUAUAUGGAGGAACACCAGUGGCGAAGGCGACUCUCUGGUCUGUAACUGACGCUGAGGCUCGAAAGCGUGGGUAGCAAACAGG